CAGUCGCCACGGUAAUACGUAGGUGGCAGGCGUUGUCCGGAAUUAUUGGGCGUAAAGGGCGCGUAGACGGAUGGCACAGUCAGAUGUGAAAUUCCCGGGCUUAACCUGGGGGCUGCAUUUGAUACGUGUUGUCUAGAGUGAGGAAGAGGGUUGUGGAAUUCCCAGUGUAGAGGUGAAAUUCGUAGAUAUUGGGAAGAACACCGGUGGCGAAGGCGGCAACCUGGUCCUUGACUGACGCUGAGGCGCGAAAGCGUGGGGAGCAAACAGGAUUAGAUACCCCUGUAGUCCCUGUCUCUUAUAC
rnacentral:rRNA from 1 species